rnacentral:tRNA from 1 species
UGUCUCAGACAGUAAAGAAUCUGCCUGUAAGGCAGGAGACCCAGGUUCAAUCCCUGG